rnacentral:rRNA from 1 species
GAUGAACGCUGGCGGCGUGCCUAAUACAUGCAAGUCGAGCGAACGGACGAGAAGCUUGCUUCUCUGAUGUUAGCGGCGGACGGGUGAGUAACACGUGGAUAACCUACCUAUAAGACUGGGAUAACUUCGGGAAACCGUAGCUAAUACCGGAUAAUAUUUUGAACCGCAUGGUUCAAAAGUGAAAGACGGUCUUGCUGUCACUUAUAGAUGGAUCCGCGCUGCAUUAGCUAGUUGGUAAGGUAACGGCUUACCAAGGCGACGAUGCAUAGCCGACCUGAGAGGGCGAUCGGCCACACUGGAACUGAGACACGGCCCAGACUCCUACGGGAGGCAGCAGUAGGGAAUCUUCCGCAAUGGGCGAAAGCCUGACCGAGCAACGCCGCGUGAGUGAAGAAGGUCUUCGGAUCGUAAAACGCUUUUAUUAGGGAAGAACAGAUGUGUGAGAAUACGUGGACCUCUUGACGGUACCUAAAGAAAAAGCCACGGCUAACUACGUG